GCAUAUCAAUAAGCGGAGGAAAAGAAACUAACAAGGAUUCCCCUAGUAACGGCGAGUGAAGCGGGAAGAGCUCAAAUUUGUAAUCUGGCACCUUCGGUGUCCGAGUUGUAAUCUCGAGAAGUGUUUUCCGCGUCGGACUGCAUACAAGUCUAUUGGAAUAUAGCGUCAUAGUGGUGAGAGCCCCGUAACUGAUGCAGAUGCCCGAUGCUUUGUGAUACACUUUCGAAGAGUCGAGUUGUUUGGGAAUGCAGCUCAAAUUGGGUGGUAAAUUCCAUCUAAAGCUAAAUAUUGGCGAGAGACCGAUAGCGAACAAGUACCGUGAGGGAAAGAUGAAAAGCACUUUGGAAAGAGAGUUAACAGUACGUGAAAUUGUUGGAAGGGAAACGCUUGAAGUCAGACUUGCUAUUUGGAAUUCAGCCGCAAGGUGUACUUUUCAAUUUGCAGGCCAGCAUCAGUUUUUGGGGGUGGAAAAGGGUUGAGAAAAGGUAGCAGUUUCGGCUGUGUUAUAGUUCUUGGCUGGAUUCAUCUUUGGGGACUGAGGAACGCAGUGUGCCGCAAGGCAAUUCUCUCGAGGAUUUCACACUUAGGAUGCUGGUGGAAUGGCUUUAAACGACCCGUCUUGAAACACGGAC
rnacentral:rRNA from 1 species